AUGGGAUCUCAUGACUGGUGGAGCAGAAACCAGCUGUAUGGUCCCCGUCCUCUAAGCCAAUUGGUUCUUCUCCUAGGUGAUGCCCGUCCCACCCUGACGGUGCUGCCCCCCUCCAGCGAGGAGCUGCAGCAGGGGAAGGCCACGCUCAUGUGCCUGGCCAACAAGGGCUUCCCCUCAGACUGGAGUCUGGCCUGGAAGGUGGACGGCAGCAGCAGCAGCAGCAGCAGCAGCAGCUGGGAGGAGAGCAGGAGCCCCGGGGUGCUGCAGAAGGACGGCCACUACAGCUGGAGCAGCACCCUG